CGGGCGGGGGGGGGGGGGGGAAGCUUUCCCACCACGGCCCGGGCUGAGAUUGCUGAAAUUCCUUCCUCGCCGGGGCUUUGCUCAAGGGCAACCUGGGAUGGGCGAGUUAACGGUGCUUGGAGGAGCAGGAGGCUGGGAGGGAGCAGGCAGGCAGGUCGUGCCUCUGCCGCCGGGAGCGAGGAGCCCUCUGCUCUCGGGGCGUCCCGGGCUACGGCGCGUGACGGGUUGCAGCCCGGGAAGGACGAACGAGCGAAGCCCUGAAUCAUGGUGGAAAUUGGAGCUGCAGAAACUCUCCUGGAAAACAGCAAGUGGAAGCGGGAGUUUCUCAGAGGCAAACCGUACCCUGGCAGGGGGCUCGAGGGCUGAUCUCGCGCUGGAUCGCCGGAGCUGCCGGGGAGCGGGGCAGCGGCUCGGGUGCGUCUCCCGGCGCUCGGUGCAAUAGCGAUUUCCCCUGCAGAAACACGCUCUUUGCUUUAGAC
rnacentral:lncRNA from 1 species